AGAUUGAAGGAGCUUGCUCCUGAUUGAUAAACAUUUGAGUGAGUGGCGGACGGGUGAGUAACACGUGGGUAACCUGCCCUAAAGUGGGGGAUAACAUUUGGAAACAGGUGCUAAUACCGCAUAAAACCUAACACCGCAUGGUGUAGGGUUGAAAGAUGGUUUCGGCUAUCACUUUAGGAUGGACCCGCGGUGCAUUAGUUAGUUGGUGAGGUAAAGGCUCACCAAGACCGUGAUGCAUAGCCGACCUGAGAGGGUAAUCGGCCACACUGGGACUGAGACACGGCCCAGACUCCUACGGGAGGCAGCAGUAGGGAAUCUUCCACAAUGGACGAAAGUCUGAUGGAGCAACGCCGCGUGAGUGAAGAAGGUUUUCGGAUCGUAAAACUCUGUUGUUGGAGAAGAAUGUAUCUGAUAGUAACUGAUCAGGUAGUGACGGUAUCCAACCAGAAAGCCACGGCUAACUACGUGCCAGCAGCCGCGGUAAUACGUAGGUGGCAAGCGUUGUCCGGAUUUAUUGGGCGUAAAGCGAGCGCAGGCGGUUUCUUAAGUCUGAUGUGAAAGCCUUCGGCUCAACCGAAGAAGUGCAUCGGAAACUGGGAAACUUGAGUGCAGAAGAGGACAGUGGAACUCCAUGUGUAGCGGUGAAAUGCGUAGAUAUAUGGAAGAACACCAGUGGCGAAGGCGGCUGUCUGGUCUGUAACUGACGCUGAGGCUCGAAAGCAUGGGUAGCAAACAGG
rnacentral:rRNA from 2 species